ensembl:lncRNA
AGAGCAUCUGGUGAUGACUGAUGAUUUGUGUGCAAUUGCCUUCCGCGUUUAAAAGAAGCGCUGCAGAUGCUGCAUUUCAGCAAGAACUACAGUAAGAGAAAUGCUGGGCUGCUGAGGAUGGGGGGAAAGCGUGCCCUGCUGCAGCUGCUGCCUCCCUGACAGGAAGGUCUCACUGGUGGAUCAAUUCACCAAGACCAAAGAAACCCUCAGGAACAAAAUCACCAGAACAGUAAAUACAGGGAAGAUGAACUGCCUCCAAUAACCUGUGAUCCCUACAGCGACAGCAGCAAUGGGGCAUAUCUGUGGCUGUGCAAGAAAAACCCUUCACUUGAUGGAGCCUUUGUCAGAGCACAGAAAGAGGGAAGACCAAAGAACAGGGUCCAGCAGCACAGCCUCUGCAUUGUUUUGUGUUGACAUUAAAAGUAGUGUUGAACACUUUUGUGAUUAGUGUUUUCACAGUAACUAUGGGGUGUUUUCUCCAACAGCUGCAGGAAAAAUAUGGGUAUCAGAAGGGCACGUGAUUUUCUAAUGGAUUAGGACAGUGUUCUACAUGUAUUUUGUCUACCAGAACAUAUAUACUGUGUGAUGAUAUGAGAUUAUAGAAAAACUACAGCGAAGAAAGGAAGUGUGGUCCAGGACUGGCCCCACGCUGACAACAGUAGAUUCGACUCGCUGCUUCCUUGCAAGAUACCUGUGUAAGAUCCCAUUUCCCCACAUGUAAAACAGGAAUAAUCCCUUUAUCAGGAAGGUUUCAUGCUCAUAAAUACAUUAAAGACCAUGAAAUGUUCCAGUCUGGGAGGCAGAACAAUAUAAAAAUAAGUUAGAUAAACCAAAGCCCAUUUUUCUGGGUUUUAAAGUCUGAAUCAUUUUAUUUAUCUAGUGCUGCGUUAUCCUUUCUCUGCUUACUGCUUCCCAGUAUGCACACAUAGCAUAUUGUCUGCUAGCAUGUUGUUAUUUUAAUUUGUGCCAACUAUUGUAUUUCUUCCCUUACUUUUCUCAGAGCUCCCCGUGCCACUGCAGGGAUUACGAUGCUAAUAAAAACUCUUGCUGUUCUUGGUGGAGUCCUCGGGUAGGAGAUGUCUGUUUCUAAUUGUUUUCUUAUUUUUGGCUUUGAACUUCACAUCUUUUCUGCUGAUGUGUGCCUUGAAAGCCCUUCCUGGGAAAGACAGCAUUGCUACCAUGAGCUGUUGCUCAGCCCCACGGCAGGAGGUUUGCGUGCAGAGGAAUGGUUUGGGGUUGGAGUCUGCCUCUGGAUCUCGCCUGAGUUAAUUUGGAUGCUGAUUCGCUUUAUUCUGACAAACUGCUUUCACCCUGUCUUGGUUUUACUCCAUAGGUUUAAUUUCUUUGAUUUAUCAAUGGCCAGUGAAUCAUAUUUUUUUGCCACUUUUACGGCUCACAUGGCACACGUACAGUAAAAGCAAUUACAAAUCUGACAAACCAGACCAUUGAAAAAUUAUGAAGAUUAUGAGAUGAAUUAUUGCUUUAUCCCUCAGCCCCCCUCAACUCUUUGUGCUAGGAGGAUGACAUCAUCGAUUGAAAGAAUAAUUGGUUCUCCAGAUGCUUGAAUGAUACCAAGGGUUCUUUCUUCUCAUAUUAAUGUUCUUUACCUGCAUCACUUUGCCUAUUUCAGAUGUGCACAGUGAUGCAGUUUUAUGACUGCACCCUCAGCAAUAAUCCUUAUUGAUUGUCACCAUCAGUUGUUUGGCUCCAGCCUCCAACCAGUCAAAACUAAGCCUGUGCCUAGAUAUGGGAGGAAUAAGAGACAAAAACAGAUUCAUCUGUGAAAAAAAAGUGUUCAAAGAAACAGCCACAAUAUAUGAGAGACUGAUAUUUCAGUUUAACCCCCAGGACAGAGGCACAGUGGAC